rnacentral:rRNA from 1 species
AGUGAACGCUGGCGGCGUGCUUAACACAUGCAAGUCGAACGAGAACGGGUUAUAGCUUGCUAUAAUUGUCAGCUAAGUGGCGCACGGGUGAGUAAUGUAUAGGUAAUAUGCCUCUUACUAAGGGAUAACAAAUGGAAACGUUUGCUAAUACCUUAUACACCUUAUUAACAUAAGUUAAUAAGGGAAAGAUUUAUUGGUAAGAGAUUAGACUGUAUUGUAUCAGUUAGUUGGUGGGGUAAUGGCUUACCAAGACUAUGACACAUAACUGGUUUGAGAGGAUGAUCAGUCACACUGUAACUGAGACACGGUCCAGACUCCUACGGGAGGCAGCAGUGGGGAAUAUUGCACAAUGGACGAAAGUCUGAUGCAGCAACGCCGCGUGGAGGAUGACACAUUUCGGUGCGUAAACUCCUUUUAUAUGAGAAGAUAAUGACGGUAUUAUAUGAAUAAGCACCGGCUAACUCCGUGCCAGCCGCCGCUGUAAUAC